GAUCAGUGGCUCAGGACGAACGCUGGCGGCGUGCUUAACACAUGCAAGUCGAACGAUGAAGCUGGAGCUUGCUCCGGUGGAUUAGUGGCGAACGGGUGAGUAACACGUGAGUAAUCUGCCCUUGACUCUGGGAUAACUGCGGGAAACUGUAGCUAAUACCGGAUACGACACCUUCGGGCAUCCGAUGGGUGUGGAAAGAAUUUCGGUCAAGGAUGAACUCGCGGCCUAUCAGCUAGUUGGUGAGGUAAUGGCUCACCAAGGCGACGACGGGUAGCCGGCCUGAGAGGAUGUCCCCCCANACUGGUACUGAGACACGGACCAGACUCCUACGGGAGGCAGCAGUAGGGAAUAUUGGUCAAUGGGCGCAAGCCUGAACCAGCCAUGCCGCGUGCAGGAUUAAGGCCCUAUGGGUUGUAAACUGCUUUUGUUUGGGAAGAAAUGUAUUCUUUUAAGAGUAUUUGACGGUACCAGACGAAUAAGCACCGGCUAACUCCGUG
rnacentral:rRNA from 1 species